UAGUCUGGAUCCACUCCGAUAAAGGAAAUAGAAAACACAGUAAAAGAAACGAAUGACGUCAAACAGAAAAUGAAAGUCUAAUUUCUCUCGCAUAUUUCACCUCUUACAGGUCUCGUUACCCAAUAAACAAGCAAGGAUUUAGGACUUAAUCCAAAUCCUCCGAUCCGUUAACUUUUUUAUCACCUCUGUUCACUUGGUCAUUCAUACAAGGUUCUCCAAUGGCGUCAGCCCUGGCGAAGCGCGAAACUCUACAGCUCAAAGGACUGGUAAAAGGCAAUCCGCGUUCCCGAUUCUUUUCUUUCCCAGUCCUGCAUCAAUCAAGACCUCUGCAUGUUGAACACAACAUUCAGACAGUCCCUCUAGAGAUGAUCCAUGCUUGCUAGACUGUGGGUCAUGCAUUUUCUGCUCUGGGGAGGAAAGAGGAAGCUCUUUCAGUUGGGAGAAAGGUUAUGAACGUGCUGUUCGCAAAUCUGCAGAUUUGAAACAACCACUGGAGAUGGAAGAGCUCUUGGAAAGUGCAAAAUGCAUUGAUUCUAUUGCCCAAAAGAACCAAGCUGUGAAGUCAACUAAGUCAUCCUCUGCUGCAUCUGAAUCUGUUAAUACUGUUGAAUCAAGUGAAACAGUUAACCACCAUGAGAAUUCAAAUGGUAAAAUUGAACCAUGCAGCAAGUCAACUGAUUGUUGAAUGCCGAUGACAACUUAUAUGACAGAUCAGAAUUUCUUUAGGACAAAGUUGUUUGCUAUUUCCAAAUUUUCAGAGAGCAUUACGUGUGGCCAAGGCUGUAAUUAAGGAGAAUAAGUAUGGGCGUGACAAAAAGGAUAACGUUGUUUAUUUGACUGAUGAUGGUAAAGUGCAAGAAAUAAUGAAUGCAGAAUCUUUUUCAGAUCUUCACAAAAUUAUUGGUGAGGAUUUCUGGUUGGCUUCUUGGUGUAACAGUACGGCAAUUGAGGGAUAUUAUUUGUUUUCCUGUUUUUCGUUUAUUAAAUUUCCAUUUGCUGUUUUAUUAAGUUUAUCUUGUAAUGGUAUGUUAUUGGUAAGUAGAAUUUCUAAUAUUGACCCCAUUUGGUCAUGUUUUCCUGUUGAAGCACCUUGAAAGAACAAGAAUCACCCUGCUAAAAUCGGACGAAAAUGGAUUUGACUUUGCAAUUAGAACUCCUUGUACACCUUCUAGGUGGGAGGACUUUGAAGUGGAAAUGACAUAAGCAUGGGAGUUAUGUCUUCAUGUGGAAAUGACUUCUAGGUUAUUGCAUCGGCACAUUUCACAAUUUCUUUUAAUUCAACUCGUUAUUGAGUGGGAAAUUAAUGAUCUUCUAUCUUUUUGACCAAAAGUUGAGCAGAAAAGCUCAUCACUUUCUGCUGAUUCUAUACUAAUAUUUAUUGAGGUUCAACAACGGAUGUGCAGGCACUAUGUGAUGCUUAUUUUGGGGAAAAUUAUGGGUCAGCAGAUUUUGAUGUGCUUGAGAAUGUGAGGGGGGCAAUUUUAAGGAUUGCAUAUUACUGGUGAUAUAUGAUUUGCCGUGCAUGCCAAUGAUCAGUCCAUAUGGUUAAUAUAUUAUUUUCUUUUAUAAUAAGUCAUACUAUUUUGCAGGUAUAAUUUCAUGCCACUAGUCAGGGGAACUGGUAUUGCUGGGACAGUUGCUUGCCAUUAAUAUGGAGUUCACUGGGAGCAUUCCAGAAGGUCUGCAUGUGGAUUGUGAAGAAAUUCUGGAAUCCAAUACCAAUUUCUUUGUGUCUUCCUGUAGAGAGUUGGCUUUAUCCUUCUCUCAAGAUCUGUAAGUCUUGCAAAGGGUACCCUGAUGUAGCAUCAACUCUCAAAACGACAGGAUUGGUUGUUGCUGCUUUGAGCACCUACUCUGAAUGGGCAAACUUGCAUAUUUUAGUCAGUAUGUAUCUUGGAUAUUGAAUUUCGUGACUCCUGAACUACUCUGAAAAUGGAAAAUUUCUUAAGUUCAAAAGAACUCAUCACAGGCUACUAAGAAACGAAAUAAAGAUUAUAUGGAAUGAAUUUUACAUUGAAACGAGAUUUAUUUUUGUAAUACGAUUACAUUUUUGUUCAUCGUAUGAGUUGCCUCACAAUUUGCUGUAAUUUUUUAAUCUGUAAUGGUUCUUAUUCUUC